rnacentral:lncRNA from 1 species
UCAAUAUUUAAAUCAUCCCAGUACAAGUAAAACUCAUAACACAACGAUAAUAUAAAUUGAAAGUAAGUGAGUGAUUUAAAAGAAUUACCAAAUGAAGACAGCUGUUACACCGUAAACUUUUGUGAUUCUUCAAAAGCGACAGAUUGUUAAUUACUAUGUCAGAUAGCUGUACAAGGGAAAUCACAUAAAAAAAGAUUAAGGACAAUACUUGUUGUUGUUGAAGGGUUUGCAUGUGAGAUAUUGCAUUUAUACUAAGUCUAGCAAGUGCAUUAUAGGGAAAGGAUUGAUGAAUUGACCCUUUGUUAAUAUGUAUCUUUAUCAAGCGCUAAUUAAAUGGAACAAGUUAGGCCCAAAAUUAAAAGCAUCAUCCAAAAUUUAAAAUGCAAUUUCGAGAAAUGGGGAAAAUGAGAAAAACCCAAAUCUACAUUGACAUUGUAUCCAUCAAUUCCAGUUAAAGUGUACAUGAAAUUCAAAGUCCAGUGACAAGGCAACUAAAGAAAGAGACGAAAGAAAACUGGUUUGAAUCAGGCACUUAGAAAACUACUCUUAGUUAAAGACUCUAGUACAAUAAUUCAACUUCAGUUACCUUUACCUCUCUGUUAGGUUUUCCCAGGUCCCAAAUUAUAAACAAUCAAGAUUACAAAAAAAAAACUAAGAAUUUUAAAACUCAUUCUACAGUUAAACCGCAACAAAACAACAUGCAUGAGGAAAAUAGGCAUUGUAAAUUGGAAACAUAAUAAUUAAAAAUAAAUAAAAAUGAAUAAAUGGCACCUUUAGAAACGAAUUUAUCGCAGUGAAGAGAGAGAGACAGAGAGAACCGAAUCGUGAUAGAAAUGAAUUCCUCUGCUUCGAGCUUGGUUGGGAUCGACGUGAAGUUUGAUUACAGUGAGGGAUAUGAUUUUAGGGUUUGGUUUACUUAGCUUUGACAGAGAAGGAGAACCGAGUGGUGAAAGACUGAUGAGUGAAUGACUUAGAAAAAAAUUAGCUUCGAUUUUGGUCUUAGG